rnacentral:lncRNA from 1 species
GGCUGAGCCAAAAUGCACGGAGCCCGGCAUGGGCGCACUCAGGGAGGGUGCACGCGGCUGCAUGUGCAAGGGCACACACACACGUGCAUGCACACACCCGUGCACACACACACACACCCGUGCAUGCAUGCACACACACGAGUGUGCACAAGGACAUGGCCUGCGCUCAUGUUUGCAGCUCCUGUGCACGCACACUGCUGGGCUGUGCACACCCGUGCAGUGGUAAAGUUGGUGCACACACGUGCACACACUCAUGUGCAUGCACUGCUGUGCAAGCAAGCAUCUGGUGCAUGCACACACAUGUGCAUGUGCUCCCGUGCAAGCAUCUGGUGCAUGCACUCAUGCACACACACACACGUGCACGCACACACGCUCCUGUGCAAGCAUCUGGUGCACGCACACUUGUACACGUGCACAUGUUCCUGUGCACACACACACACUCGGUGCAAGCAAGCAUCUGGUGCAUGCACACUUGUCCACACAUGCAUGCGUUCCUGUGCAUGCAUUUGCACACCCAUGCACACUCUUGUGCACACUCUUGUGCAUGCACAGCGCCGUUGCACACUCGCUCCUUGCAGCCUCUGCGCCCCGCUGCGGCCCCUCGCUCCGUGCCCGCCGGCCGUGCCCGGCCCCCCCGUGCCCCCCAGGCGCGCCGAGCCUUUGUCUUUCUGCCUGGCUGCCCCCUUUGAGGGGCCGAGGGCCCUGAAAGGCGCCGAGGUUCUCACACAAACGGCGGCGGCCUCGGGGCAGGGCAGGUGGGGGGGAGAUGGAGACCCCGGCCCCAAGGCGCUGGAGGGGGCUCGGGGCUCCUGAGGGUACUGGGGUCCUGCAGGUGUGAUUGCUUUGGGGGGCUCAGGGGGACUGUGGGGACCCCUAAAGCAGGGUCCUGCCAGGAUCAGCCCUCGGAGAGCCAUGGGACGGCGCCUUGGGGUCGGCACCGAGGGCUGUGGUGCAGCAGAGGGGUCCCCAGGGGGGUCUGGGGGGUUCCAAUGGGGAAUCUGCGGGGGGAGCAACGGGAUUUUUGUGGGACAGCAGGAGAGUUCCCAUGGGGCAGCAGCGGGGAGGCAAUGGGGUUCCAAUGGGAUGGCUGUGGGCUUCCCAUGGGGAAACAAACGGGGUUCAUAUGGGGGAAAAGUGGGGCUCCAGGGGCUCCCCACAGGGCAGCAAGAAGCCCCCAAGCCCCCACCCCAGCCCCCUGGUGCACGA